AACAUCCUCUGCAUUCAGACACUGCUCUUGGUAGUUACUGGCAGCAGAAACUCAGUCAUUCCCUUCUCCGUAUUCGGCACCAGACUGCUUCUCAGGAUAUUAUCCUCCCGGCACAAGUUACAUCAAGCUCCCAACUGAGGCACGUUAGUGAGGACAAUGGCUUCUGUAUACUGCCAGGAAUCUCUAUGGGAGGAGGAGUCUUUGCCAAACUUUUGUGAAAGGUUACUUAAAAGCAACGAUCAACCGCUGGAUGGGAAAAUCUACACUAUGUACCACGGCACAAAUGCGCCCGCUGCUGCACAAAUUAUCAUUUAUGGGUUUAAGCAAUCGGCUGAUGGCAUGUUAGGGAGAGGUGUCUAUGUCAGCAGGGAUAUAAAUAAAGCUGAAUGUUACCCUGUUGAGGACAAAAGUAAUCAAGUUAUUUUAAAGGUCAGAGUUAAUGUAGGUAAGGUGAAAAAGAUAGAUUAUCAGCAUCACCUCUUGCAGAAGACUUGGCACAACCAUGGCUACGAUACAGCUUGGGUACCUGCGUUUAAUACCAUGGUUAAAAGUGGACGAGAGGAGGAUUGUGUCUGGGAUCCCAACAGAAUCAAAGUGGUAGACGUGGUAAAAGCCCCCCCAAUGUAUAAAGAGUAUUUUGAAGGUCUAGUUGAGCUGAACAUAAAGUAGAAUAUAGUAGUGUGAGAUUUAGUUAUGCUGUAUUUUAUUCAGUGUCAUGUAUAAAGAUACUGUGCUUAGAAGUUAGUUUUCUUGGCUUAGUAGACACAGUGUUUUUAUGAAUCUAUUGUAUAUAUAUAUACCAUGUUUAUGUUUAGUUCCUGAUUUUUCUAAUGUUAGUUUGUUUAAAGAAAUAAAUAUUGUGAUAUUCAAACUUC